GUGGUCGCUUCGGCAGCACAUAUACUAAAAUUGAAACGAAACAGAGAAGAUUAGCAUGGCCCCUGCACAAGGAUGAAGUUCACUUCCCAAAUAGCCACAAUGGCCAG
ensembl:snRNA U6 U6 spliceosomal RNA